rnacentral:rRNA from 1 species
GUAGGGAAUCUUCCACAAUGGACGAAAGUCUGAUGGAGCAACGCCGCGUGAGUGAAGAAGGUCUUCGGAUCGUAAAACUCUGUUGUUAGAGAAGAACGUGCAUGAUAGUAACUGAUCAUGUAAUGACGGUAUCUAACCAGAAAGCCACGGCUAACUACGUGCCAGCAGCCGCGGUAAUACGUAGGUGGCAAGCGUUGUCCGGAUUUAUUGGGCGUAAAGGGAACGCAGGCGGUUUUUUAAGUCUGAUGUGAAAGCCUUCGGCUUAACCGAAGAAUAGCAUUGGAAACUGGAAGAAUUGAGUGCAGAAGAGGAGGGUGGAAUUCCAUGUGUAGCGGUGGAAUGCGUAGAUAUAUGGAGGAACACCAGUGGCGAAAGCGGCUCUCUGGUCUGUAACUGACGCUGAGGUUCGAAAGCGUGGGUAGCAAACAGGAUUAGAUACCCUUGUAGUCC